CUGUAAUUAUUUCAUUAGGUUUAGGUACAAUUAUAAUUCAACUCCUACUUACAUCGGUCACCCUAGUUCAGCACUAAUUUCAACAAUCUCGACCGAGAAUCUACCGGAUUUGCGGGCAACUAUAAUGGGUUUUCCAACCAACGGAGCGGGCAGCGUUCGAGGUCACCUGUUUGGUUUAGGUACAAUUAUAAUUCAACUCCUACUUACAUCGGUCACCCUAGUUCAGCACUAAUUUCAACAAUCUCGACCGAGAAUCUACCGGAUUUGCGGGCAACUAUAAUGGGUUUUCCAACCAACGGAGCGGGCAGCGUUCGAGGUCACCUGUUUGGUGCGUGUUUUAGGAUUAAUUUAAGAAAUUUAACUAAUUUUAAACU